rnacentral:rRNA from 1 species
UACGGGGGGGGCAAGCGUUGUUCGGAAUUACUGGGCGUAAAGGGCUCGUAGGCGGCCAACUAAGUCAGACGUGAAAUCCCUCGGCUUAACCGGGGAACUGCGUCUGAUACUGGAUGGCUUGAGUUCGGGAGAGGGAUGCGGAAUUCCAGGUGUAGCGGUGAAAUGCGUAGAUAUCUGGAGGAACACCGGUGGCGAAGGCGGCAUCCUGGACCGAGACUGACACUGAGGAGCAAAAGCCAGGGGAGCAAACGGG